rnacentral:rRNA from 1 species
UAGGGAAUCUUCGGCAAUGGGGGGAACCCUGACCGAGCAACGCCGCGUGAGUGAAGAAGGUUUUCGGAUCGUAAAGCUCUUUUGUUAAGGAAGAACGAGUGUGAGAAUGGAAAGUUCAUGCUGUGACGGUACUUAACCAGAAAGGGACGGCUAACUACGUGCCAGCAGCCGCGGUAAUACGUAGGUCCCGAGCGUUGUCCGGAUUUAUUGGGCGUAAAGCGAGCGCAGGCGGUUAGAUAAGUCUGAAGUUAAAGGCAGUGGCUCAACCAUUGUAGGCUUUGGAAACUGUUUAACUUGAGUGCAGAAGGGGAGAGUGGAAUUCCAUGUGUAGCGGUGAAAUGCGUAGAUAUAUGGAGGAACACCGGUGGCGAAAGCGGCUCUCUGGUCUGUAACUGACGCUGAGGCUCGAAAGCGUGGGGAGCGAACAGG